CUCUUCCAGAGAAGUUCCGAAGGAUAGAGUAAGGGAGGAAUCUCUGUUGCUUCCGCAGAGCAAAGGUUUGGGACAUUUCUGAAAUUACUUUUAAAGAACAGUUUACACUAAGUCCAUAUUUCUACAGCACGAUUUGCUGUGGGAGUGUUGUGUAGAAACUUUGGCUUCCACCCGUCGUCCCCUCUCACCUUGAGUCCAGUCUCACCUCGCGGAUCGCUGCUGGAAUCCCUGCAAAGUGCUCUCUUCCUCUUCCCGAGGGUGCUUGGCUUCGGCAAACUCUCACCCAUCUUCAACGGACAACGGCCUUCGCGACGACACGACCUGGAUGAAUGGAGUAUCCGGAGAAGGUUUUUGAAGACGUUUAGGAGGAAGGGUGAGUUUUCUGUUGAGAAACUCAAUCUGCCAUACAGUAGCAGCCCCAUCUGGGAUCUGUCACUGCUGACAGCACCACAGGGCACUGCCGUGAUCUUCUGCACAGCCUGCACUCCCCGAAAUACCCUCCUUAAUCAAAGGAUGUCUGCGCGCCGGCGCUCAGCUGACCGCGCCGUAGCGAGAGGCCUACGGGUCCCCCAUCCCGCCCCCGUCCCAGGCUCACAGCCUCCUCCAGCCCCGUCUUUCCAGAGCAUUAAUUAAAAGCGGAAAAA